AUCAAUCCACAGGGAUCACAAUGCCCCAUUCCCAGCAGAUCACCCUGUGAACCUGUCCUGGUAACUCACUGCAGCUGGGCAGCCUGGUCACCACCCCAUAAAUGGGUUUGUAGCAGCUCUCUGACCUGGUAUGGCUUGGAGAUGGAGGGCUGAGGCUGAGCCUGUGCAGGAGUCUUUGCUGUGUGUUGAAAGCUGCUGUGGAGAAAGGAAAAUCUGAAUUUGUUGCAGUUUCAUUUUUCCAUGGAAGACGUGUGGAAGUGAUGCGUUCUGGACGCUUUCAUAGGUGACGCUGCCAGUUGGGUGUUCAUUGAUCAUCAUCACUGUCAACAUUAUUAUAGGGAUGGCUCCUCUUCAGCAAUUCAGCCAGUCCAACCCACAAGGACUGCAUGAGAAAUGAAUCCCCAGGGCUGUGAGAUGCAUGUGACAGAACACUUAUCUGAGGCUUGUGUUCCUGUGAAAAGCUAAACUGCAUUACACAGGAGAGCAGCAGGAGGCCACCUCGCUUUAAGUGAUACGGCUUAAAUACAGAAGCGAGAAGAAAAAAAAUAAUCGUUAUUAGUCAGGACUCCAACACAGAUAAAGAAGACUGUACCCAACCUAAGGAAGCUUUGCAUAUCACCAUAGUUACCAGACAAGAAGAUCAUGUGCUCAGUAAGUCGUCCUGCUGUUGAUGAGGGAGUGACAGUGUGCAGUGGAGUGCCCUGAGUUCUCAACACGUGCUUACCAACUAUUCAUGUUCAAAACAAAACAUGUGAAGAAUGAUUAAAAAAAAAAGAGACUUUGUAGACAUGAAAGCAUUUUCUAUUAUGACGUAUUCUGCUUUUAAGAAGUGUCUGUGAUUUCAUGUGUUCACAGAUGGCAGGAGGUCUAUUAUUUAUAAUAGCAAAUGGAAUUUUAAAAAUGUACAGAGAGAAAAUACUGUCUGUUGUUUUAAAUGAUCAAUCACUGAACCACAUCUCAAGUUUGUUUAUUUCAGUGUUAUCUUAAAAUCUCUUGAAGAUGGACCAGGGAAGCAACGUGUAAACUUGUGCUGUACUCUCCAGGAAGCUUUUCCAGAGUGCGGAACAAGUCCCUUAAGGCAGCUAAACCCCUCUAAGCUGUCAUUACUUAGCACAGUUAAUCUUCAUUGCAUUUCUUUGUAAGUGGGGAAAAGCCAGCAGCAAACUCAGUUGUGCCUUCAGAGGCUCCUAAGUGAGUGGUGCGGGAGGCAGCCCCUAUCCUGGGGGAUGUGGGCAGUGUGUGAUGCUGUGCUGACUGCCAUUGGUGCCUCGUGCCCUGGUGCUCGUGUGUGCUGGGACGCAGCUGCCCAUGCUGACACCUGCCUGAGGAUUCUCCUCUGGUUAAUCCACCUCCCCAUUCUCAUCUCUGCCACGGUAAAUUCAAAGAGACUUUCCACAGUAAUGUUAAAACCCUGGCAGACA